rnacentral:rRNA from 1 species
GGGUUGUGAGGUUAAGCGACUAAGCGUACACGGUGGAUGCCCUGGCAGUCAGAGGCGAUGAAGGACGUGCUAAUCUGCGAUAAGCGCCGGUAAGGUGAUAUGAACCGUUAUAACCGGCGAUUUCCGAAUGGGGAAACCCAGUGUGACUCGUCACACUAUCAUUAACUGAAUCCAUAGGUUAAUGAGGCGAACCGGGGGAACUGAAACAUCUAAGUACCCCGAGGAAAAGAAAUCAACCGAGAUUCCCCCAGUAGCGGCGAGCGAACGGGGAGGAGCCCAGAGCCUGAAUCAGCAUGUGUGUUAGUGGAAGCGUCUGGAAAGGCGCGCGAUACAGGGUGACAGCCCCGUACACAAAAGCGCAUGUGCUGUGAGCUCGAUGAGUAGGGCGGGACACGUGGUAUCCUGUCUGAAUAUGGGGGGACCAUCCUCCAAGGCUAAAUACUCCUGACUGACCGAUAGUGAACCAGUACCGUGAGGGAAAGGCGAAAAGAACCCCGGCGAGGGGAGUGAAAAAGAACCUGAAACCGUGUACGUACAAGCAGUGGGAGCACAGGUUUACCUGUGUGACUGCGUACCUUUUGUAUAAUGGGUCAGCGACUUAUAUUCUGUAGCAAGGUUAACCGUAUAGGGGAGCCGGAGGGAAACCGAGUCUUAAUUGGGCGUUAAGUUGCAGGGUAUAGACCCGAAACCCGGUGAUCUAGCCAUGGGCAGGUUGAAGGUUGGGUAACACUAACUGGAGGACCGAACCGACUAAUGUUGAAAAAUUAGCGGAUGACCUGUGGCUGGGGGUGAAAGGCCAAUCAAACCGGGAGAUAGCUGGUUCUCCCCGAAAGCUAUUUAGGUAGCGCCUCGUGAAUUCAUCUCCGGGGGUAGAGCACUGUUUCGGCUAGGGGGCCAUCCCGGCUUACCAACCCGAUGCAAACUGCGAAUACCGGAGAAUGUUAUCACGGGAGACACACGGCGGGUGCUAACGUCCGUCGUGAAGAGGGAAACAACCCAGACCGCCAGCUAAGGUCCCAAAGUCAUGGUUAAGUGGGAAACGAUGUGGGAAGGCCCAGACAGCCAGGAUGUUGGCUUAGAAGCAGCCAUCAUUUAAAGAAAGCGUAAUAGCUCACUGGUCGAGUCGGCCUGCGCGGAAGAUGUAACGGGGCUAAACCAUGCACCGAAGCUGCGGCAGCGAACGUAUCACCCAAGACAACUUUACGGAGUUGACGAUUGACGGAGCGAAGCGACGUCAAAGCGUUCAUUAAAGUCGAGUUGGCUUAGGGAUACGUUCGUUGGGUAGGGGAGCGUUCUGUAAGCCUGUGAAGGUGUGUCGUGAGGCAUGCUGGAGGUAUCAGAAGUGCGAAUGCUGACAUAAGUAACGAUAAAGCGGGUGAAAAGCCCGCUCGCCGGAAGACCAAGGGUUCCUGUCCAACGUUAAUCGGGGCAGGGUGAGUCGACCCCUAAGGCGAGGCCGAAAGGCGUAGUCGAUGGGAAACGGGUUAAUAUUCCCGUACUUGGUGUUACUGCGAAGGGGGGACGGAGAAGGCUAUGUUGGCCGGGCGACGGUUGUCCCGGUUUAAGCGUGUAGGUGUGUGUUCCAGGUAAAUCCGGUUCACUUUAACACUGAGGCGUGACGACGAGGCACUACGGUGCUGAAGCAACAAAUGCCCUGCUUCCAGGAAAAGCCUCUAAGCAUCAGGUAACAUCAAAUCGUACCCCAAACCGACACAGGUGGUCAGGUAGAGAAUACCAAGGCGCUUGAGAGAACUCGGGUGAAGGAACUAGGCAAAAUGGUGCCGUAACUUCGGGAGAAGGCACGCUGACACGUAGGUGAAGUGAUUUACUCAUGGAGCUGAAGUCAGUCGAAGAUACCAGCUGGCUGCAACUGUUUAUUAAAAACACAGCACUGUGCAAACACGAAAGUGGACGUAUACGGUGUGACGCCUGCCCGGUGCCGGAAGGUUAAUUGAUGGGGUCAGCGCAAGCGAAGCUCCUGAUCGAAGCCCCGGUAAACGGCGGCCGUAACUAUAACGGUCCUAAGGUAGCGAAAUUCCUUGUCGGGUAAGUUCCGACCUGCACGAAUGGCGUAAUGAUGGCCAGGCUGUCUCCACCCGAGACUCAGUGAAAUUGAACUCGCUGUGAAGAUGCAGUGUACCCGCGGCAAGACGGAAAGACCCCGUGAACCUUUACUAUAGCUUGACACUGAACAUUGAGCCUUGAUGUGUAGGAUAGGUGGGAGGCUUUGAAGUGUGGACGCCAGUCUGCAUGGAGCCGACCUUGAAAUACCACCCUUUAAUGUUUGAUGUUCUAACGUGGACCCGU